UACGUAGGGUGCGAGCGUUAAUCGGAAUUACUGAGCGUAAAGCGUGCGCAGGCGGUUUUGUAAGCCAGAUGUGAAAUCCCCGGGCUUAACCUGGGAAUGGCAUUUGGGACUGCAAGGCUUGAGUGCGGCAGAGGAGACUGGAAUUCCCGGUGUAGCAGUGAAAUGCGUAGAUAUCGGGAGGAAUACCGAUGGCGAAGGCAGGUCUCUGGGCUGACACUGACGCUCAUGCACGAAAGCGUGGGGAGCAAACAGG
rnacentral:rRNA from 1 species